rnacentral:rRNA from 1 species
CGACCGUUGUUCGGAAUCACUGGGCUUAAAGGGCGCGUAGGCGGCUUCCCAAGCCCGGGGUGAAAUCUUUCGGCUUAACCGGAAAAGGGCUUCGGGGACUGGGGGGCUAGAGGGAGGUAGGGGCAAGCGGAACUUCCGGUGGAGCGGUGAAAUGCGUUGAUAUCGGAAGGAACGCCGGCGGCGAAAGCGGCUUGCUGGACCUCAUCUGACGCUGAUGCGCGAAAGCUAGGGGAGCGAACGGG